UACAAUUAAACCUUACAAAGAAAUCUUUUAUUGCUUUAUGCUAUGCUGUUACUUGGAAAUAAAUCUGUAUUGAAUACGUGUUAACUGUAUUUAAUGGGCUGAUUGUCUACUGAUGAGGGUGUAGGGCUAAAAGCUAGCAAAUCAGGUAUGAUGCUCCAGGCUCACUGAAUUUUGACAGAAAACUGCCGCUGAUUUUUAUAAUUAAGAGCCCAGGAUUUAUUUGCUUAACCACUUAUGUCUGGACUUUCAGGAGUGUGGGAGAAAGUCUGGAGCUGUAGGGCCUAAUUCAGGUCCCACCACUAUGUGCAGCAGAUACCAAUGGAAGGUGAAGAACUUGCCUGCUUUCUGCACUGAGUAAAGGCUGACAUGGAAGGACCUAUGUCAGGUCCCAUUGCUGAAGAAAGCUACAUACACAAGCAGUUGCAGCUGCAUGCUGGGCCUGCAAGACGUGUCAAGCUCUAACUGCCCUGUACUAAGAGAUUUCCUCAUGUCAGAAAAGAGGUAAGGUUCUCUUGAAUAUAUUUUAGAAGAAAAUGUGAUCUGUGUUAAUGUAGGAAUUAAAACAG
ensembl:lncRNA